GACGAACGCUGGCGGCGUGCUUAACACAUGCAAGUCGAGCGGUAAGGCCCUUUCGGGGGUACGACGAGCGGCGAACGGGUGAGUAACACGUGGGUGACCUGCCCUCAGCUCUGGGAUAAGCCUGGGAAACCGGGUCUAAUACUGGAUAUGACUCCAUGACGCAUGUUGUGGGGUGGAAAGCCUUGUGCGGCUGAGGAUGGGCCCGCGGCCUAUCAGCUUGUUGGUGGGGUGAGGCCUAUCAAGGCGACGACGGGUAGCCGGCCUGAGGGGGCGACCGGCCACACUGAGACUGAGACACGGCCCAGACUCCUACGGGAGGGCAGCAGUGGGGAAUCUUGCGCAAU
rnacentral:rRNA from 1 species